UACGUAGGUGGCAAGCGUUGUUCGGAAUUAUUGGGCGUAAAGGGCGCGUAGGCGGCCACCGCAAGUCGACUGUGAAAUCUCCGGGCUUAACCCGGAAAGGUCAGCCGAUACUGCGGGGCUAGAGUGCAGAAGGGGCAACUGGAAUUCUCGGUGUAGCGGUGAAAUGCGUAGAUAUCGAGAGGAACACCUGCGGCGAAGGCGGGUUGCUGGGCUGACACUGACGCUGAGGCGCGAAAGCUAGGGGAGCGAACGGG
rnacentral:rRNA from 1 species